AUUGAACGCUGGCGGCAGGCCUAACACAUGCAAGUCGAGCGGAUGAAGGGAGCUUGCUCCUGGAUUCAGCGGCGGACGGGUGAGUAAUGCCUAGGAAUCUGCCUGGUAGUGGGGGAUAACGUCCGGAAACGGGCGCUAAUACCGCAUACGUCCUGAGGGAGAAAGUGGGGGAUCUUCGGACCUCACGCUAUCAGAUGAGCCUAGGUCGGAUUAGCUAGUUGGUGGGGUAAAGGCCUACCAAGGCGACGAUCCGUAACUGGUCUGAGAGGAUGAUCAGUCACACUGGAACUGAGACACGGUCCAGACUCCUACGGGAGGCAGCAGUGGGGAAUAUUGGACAAGGGGCGAAGGCCUGAUCCAGCCAUGCCGCGGGUGUGAAGAAGGUCUUCGGAUUGUAAAGCACUUUAAGUUGGGAGGAAGGGCAGUAAGUUAAUACCUUGCUGUUUUGACGUUACCAACAGAAUAAGCACCGGCUAACUUCGUG
rnacentral:rRNA from 1 species